UGGCACCUUGAUGUCGGCUCAUCACAUCCUGGGGCUGUAGCCGGUCCCAAGGGUUUGGCUGUUCGCCAAUUAAAGUGGUACGUGAGCUGGGUUUAGAACGUCGUGAGACAGUUCGGUCCCUAUCUGCCGUGGGUGUUGGAGUCUUGAGAGGAUCUGUUCCUAGUACGAGAGGACCGGAAUGGACGCACCUCUGGUGUACCUGUUGUCGCGCCAGCGGCAUCGCAGGGUAGCUAUGUGCGGAAUGGAUAAAUGCUGAAAGCAUCUAAGCGUGAAACCAGCCUCAAAACAAGGACUCCCUAUCAGAGCCGUGGAAGACCACCACGUUGAUAGGCCGGAUGUGGAAGCG
rnacentral:rRNA from 1 species